UACGAAGGGGGCUAGCGUUGCUCGGAAUCACUGGGCGUAAAGGGUGCGUAGGCGGGUUUUUAAGUCAGAGGUGAAAUCCUGGAGCUCAGCUCCAGAACUGCCUUUGAUACUGGAAGUCUUGAGUAUGGGAGAGGUGAGUGGAACUGCGAGUGUAGAGGUGAAAUUCGUAGAUAUUCGCAAGAACACCAGUGGCGAAGGCGGCUCACUGGCCCAUUACUGACGCUGAGGCACGAAAGCGUGGGGAGCAAACAGG
rnacentral:rRNA from 1 species